rnacentral:rRNA from 1 species
AGCAGCCGCGGUAAUUCCAGCUCCAAUAGCGUAUAUUAAAGUUGUUGCAGUUAAAAAGCUCGUAGUUGAAUUUCGGGAUUGACGUGAUGGUCAUGCCUUAAGGGGUAUGAACUGUUACAGUUGAUUUCUCACCUUCUGGAGAAACUUGAUGUCCUUUAUUGGGUGUCUUGCGGAUCCAGGACCUUUACCUUGAAAAAAUUAGAGUGUUUAAAGCAGGCAUUUUUGCUCGAAUACAUUAGCAUGGAAUAAUAGAAUAGGACGGCAUGGUUCUAUUUUGUUGGUUUCUAGGAUCGCCGUAAUGAUUAAUAGGGAUAGUUGGGGGCAUUAGUAUUCAAUUGUCAGAGGUGAAGUUCUUGGAUUUAUUGAAGACUAACUACUGCGAAAGCAUUUGCCAAGGAUGUUUUCAUUAAUCAAGACGAAAUUAGGGGAUCGAAGACGAUCAGAUACCGUCGUAGUCUUAACCAUAAACUAUGCCGACUAGGAAUCAGACGAUGUUAAUUUUUAAUGUACUCGUUU